rnacentral:tmRNA from 1 species
GGGGAUGACUGGAUUCGACGCCGGUUACAAACCCUGCGGUGCAUGUCGAGAGCGCUUGGUAUCUCGUAAAUAAAACCUUGCAAUAUAUAGUCGCAAACGACGAAAACUACGCACUAGCGGCCUAAAUCCCGCUUACACUGAGCACCAGAUGCCUGUAAAUGGUUGCAAAGUGGCACGCAGAACAGGAUCGUGUGGCACCCUCUCUCGGGGGUAAAGCAUUAAAACUUAAUCGAGAUCGCCCUAGGCACCCUGACUUUCGGGUCGCUGCGGGUUAAAUUAAUAGAAAGAGCUAAACAUGUAGAGCCAAUGGCAGAGGACUGACGGACGGGGGUUCGACUCCCCCCAUCUCCACCA